rnacentral:rRNA from 1 species
GACGAACGCUGGCGGCGUGCUUAAUACAUGCAAGUCGAACGGAAGUAGCAAUACUUUAGUGGCGCACGGGUGAGGAACACGUAGAUGAUCUGCCCUUGAGAUCGAGAUAACCCCGGGAAACUGGGGCUAAUACCGGAUAAUGCAUUAUUAUUGGAUUAAUAAUGUUAAAGCGGCGCAAGUCGCACUUGAGGAUGAGUCUGCGACCUAUCAGCUAGUUGGCGGUGUAAUGGACCACCAAGGCAAAGACGGGUAGCUGAUCUGAGAGGAUGAUCAGCCACACUGGGACUGAGACACGGCCCAGACUCCUACGGGAGGCAGCAGUAGGGAAUAUUGCGCAAUGGGGGAAACCCUGACGCAGCGACGCCGCGUGAGUGAUGAAGGCCUUUCUGGUUGUAAAGCUCUGUAAGGAGGGAAGAAUGUCAGGCAGUAACGUGUCUGAGUGACGGUACCUCCGGAGUAAGGACCGGCUAAAUACGUGCCAGC